GGCCCCAUGGUCUAGCCUGGCCUAGGACGUCAGGUUCUCAGCCUGAAGACUCGGGUUCAAAUCCCGAUGGGGCUA
rnacentral:tRNA from 1 species